GUGCUCACUUUGGCAGCACAUAGACGAAAAUUGGAACGAUACAGAGAAGAUUAGCAUGUCCCCUGCGCAAGGAUGACAUGCAAAUUCGUGAAGUGUUCCAUAUUUUU
rnacentral:snRNA from 1 species